GCGCACACCAGUAUAGGCGGACUUUGUGAUCAGUUUGGGUUUUACAGUUCUUAUUACCCCCGGGACACUUUGUGGUUAGUUUGUCUAAAUUAAGAGGGGAACAUUUCCAUCUUAUUUGAUGGUCCGUCUUAAGUGCGAGACAAUGGGCAGGACCUCUGGCUAAAAAUGACAACUUAAAAUUUCUUAAGAGUGUAUGGAAUGUCCUCAAUGCACCUUUUUGCUCAUAUUACACAGUUUUUUAUGCAGAAUUCAAAUCUGAAUUCUGUUCUGAAGGAAACAUUUGUAUUUUUUGAUUAUCAGCAAAAUAAUGAUUGCACAUUGCUGGAUUUGACGAAAAAAAAAGACAAAAACGAAGCAGAAACAGCAGAGUAGGAACGUGACAUCAUAGUCAACAUGUCAACAAUGGCGAGCAUUGGAAUACAUUGUUAGAACGACAACAAAUUUUCUGAUAUUUAGAGCGACAAACAGUAUUCUGAAGGGUCCCACGAAGACGGUGAAGAAUACGAACGUUAUAAAGGCGUUAAAGGUUAUCAAUUUAAGACAGUUAGACAGCAUACAUGUUCGAAUGCAGACGAAAUAGCUGACCAUGAAGAAAGUGCAGGGAGCAGGAUGUGCCUCGUGUUGGAAACAGAAACUGGUAAGCAUUUGUGAAGUUCUUAUUUUGUUUAGUUACUCAUAAACUGAUAAAAAGUAAAGGCUUUGAUAUCCUGAAUGUAUAUACAAAAUUUUUGGUGGUGUUUUAAAAUUAUGCAAACGCCCUGAAUAUAGAAAAUAGGUACGCGACCACCCGGCCAUUCAUUGUACAGCGCGAUGGAUCUGCCUGUGCGUGCUUGUAUGAGAAACUAUCUGCAGUACGAUGUGCAUCACUAAUUUGCGUGUACAAGGCUCGUUUAUUAUCGCACCAAAACAAACAGAAGAUGAUGACGUAGUCCACAGUCUAAGUUGGUACAAUUUCACAAAAAAGGAUUUUAAUGAUUGAAAUCCGUUGAAAAUGUUGUCACGUUAAUUUGAGAGCAAUAGGUGGUGAUAUCUUGCUUCACCAUAAAUAUAAUUUUAUGUGGUAAACUGAUGCCAUAACCCAGGGGUGGUCGAUCGCCACGCAGUCUUGCUCGAUCACGGGACUGCAUGCCAAAAAAAAAAAAAAAAGUCAGCCAAUGUUCCCUCUAAACUGCGCGUGUGCGCAAUUGUGCACCGCUGAUGCAGUCUCUGCAAAUAUUCUGUGUUGCGCACAAAAAAAAAUGUCAUGCUCCUGGAUUCCAGCCAGGGCUGGGCGUGGCCAGCUAAUCUGAAGGUGCACACCUGCGCCUCAUGACCUUUGAUUAAGACCCAGUACAUAUAGGACCCGGGGGACGACUAUUACUCUGCUAGAUCGUUGCCUCUCAUGCCUCGUUCCCGCACUACCGUACUCCUGACGUCUACCUCCCGUGUACCGACCAACGCCUGUCUCCCGACCUACCCCAGCUGCUAUUUAGCUGAUCGCCUCAACCCUUUGACGGUCCCGAGUUCAGUUGGGUGCUCCUGGACAUCAAAAUCCUCCUCAUCCACAUAGAUGUUCCUACAAAAACCGCAGAGACAAGCCUUGAGGACUGGAGUGAAGUGAACUUAAACCAACCAAGAUUGUCUUUCUGAGCAUGCGAGAGACGGAGCGAUCCACUGUAAGCGUGCUCCCCCUCAGACUGCCAAAGUGGUAGCCUCCGUCUGCUCUUUUUUUUUUUAAAUUGCUUUCUCAGGUCAAAAGGUUACAUAGUUACAUGUUCACAGUAAAAAUGCUGAAACAGAUGGCUACACCAACACCAACAUAAAAACCAAGGUACGUGUUUCUUCAAGGCUGCAACAGUGUCUUGAUAACAGGCAUGUGAUUUGACUGAAUGAAAAAUAGCCAGGGGUCUGGGGGCUGCAAGCAUGAUCAAAGGAUGAUCACAGAUUUUAACGUGCAAGUUUUAUAUCUUGUAUUAUGAAUGAAAUAUAUCUAGUACGU